UUGAAAGGGAAACGAUUGAAGUCAGUCGUACCAGCGGGAAAUCAACCUUUCGGGUGGGAUUUUGGAGUUUUGAAGAGUGUUAAAACCUUUGAGAUUUCAAAAUGUUCGCUCUUUUGGUGUACUUUCUCGUAGGUAGGUUAACAUCGAUUUUGAUCAUCAUAAAAAGAUUGGAGGAAUGUAGCUUCGAUCUCGUAUUGAAGUGUUAUAGCCUUUGGUAAAUGUGAUGGUUAGGAUCGAGGAUUGCAACGAAUACCCUUUUGGGCUAUCCGCCUGAUCUCUGAUACGUGGCCUUGGUAUCGAAAGCGUGCUUAUGGUAUUAAGGUAUUACGGUCAAAAGGUUAGAACGGAUUACAUUCGUUAAGGAUGUUGACGUA
rnacentral:rRNA from 1 species